UUCUGCAAGAGGAAUAUCAGCUCUAUGUUCUACCCAGAAUUUUGGAAUCAAAGAGGACGGAAAAAUCUGGACGCACCAAGCAAAAAGAAGCAGAUUUGGAAUAUAGUGUUGCAAAGCAGGUUGAAAAAAUGAUUAGGUAUAUUAAGAUGAUUUCUUUGGAGCAAUUCUUGACAACAUUUGUAGUUGAGGCCUUUAGAAUGGAAGAAUGUAUUUCACUAAUUUUUGUAUACAUUUCUUGUUUUGUAUUUAGUGAUAAAUGAAUCUGAAUUGGGCAUAAAUUAUGUUGUAAUAUGAUUUCUUAAGCCUAGACUAGUAGACUAAAUAUUGUAAUUACAUUUGAGUAAUUAAUAAAAAUCUAUUUAUGUUA